rnacentral:rRNA from 1 species
GACGAACGCUGGCGGCGUGCCUAAUACAUGCAAGUCGAGCGAACCCGGGGUGCUUGCACCCUGAGGGUUAGCGGCGGACGGGUGAGUAACACGUGGGGAACCUGCCUUGCUGUCUGGGAUAACACCGGGAAACCGGUGCUAAUACCGGAUGUCCCCUUUCCGGCACCUGCCGGAGAGGGAAAAGGCGGCUUUGAGCCGCCGCAGCAAGAGGGGCCCGCGGCGCAUUAGUUAGUUGGCAGGGUAACGGCCUCCCAAGGCGACGAUGCGUAGCCGCACUGGGAGGGUGUACGGCCAAAUGGGGACGGGGACCCGGCCCAGACUCCUACGGGAGGCAGCAGUAGGGAAUCAUCCGCAAUGGACGAAAGUCUGACGGUGCAACGCCGCGUGAGGGAUGAAGGUUUUCGGAUCGUAAAGCUCUGUUGUGAGGGAAGAAUAGGAUGGGGAGGAAAUGCCCGAUCUGUGACGGUACCUCACCAGAAAGCCCCGGCUAACUACGUGCCAGCAGCCGCCGUAA